GACAACUGCCCCUUCCAGUCAACCAGAUCAACGAGCUUUAGCCUCCACAUUCCUCCAUCUCUGAGCGAAAUCUCAGACUUGGGAGGUUUCUUUGAGAGGAAGCGAUAUGUGUCCGUUGAGGUUCAUUAUGACAUUCCUCUAUGCAACUCUUGUUGGCUUUUUCGUCCUCAAAAACCUCAAAUGUCAACAACCCAUCAACGUCACCUCCUUGAAUCAUCCAAUUAACGGAUUCUCUAAGUUCAGGUUUGGUCGAUUAUGGAAUCGGGUUGUUGGGAUUUUGUGGAUAUGGCUAGUGGUCGCUACCUGUGGAGGCAUUUGACCUCAUCAUCAUUGUCUCCCAAGCGUUCCAGUUGAUUUGAUUUCUUUAGUUUCAAGAUUGUGCCUUUCAGGUCUAUAUUUUCUUUGUACUAAGUAAUUGUGAAAUUGAUUCCUUUUGGGGAUCUCUUUAUCGAAUAUUUCAUUAGAUACAUGAAAUACUUGAGCUGUUGUUGUAUAGAUCUUGCUUAUGUUGUUGUAUAGAUCCAAGGCUAUUCGGAUACUGAUGUUAUGUCGCAUGCUUAGUGUAUGCUUUUCAAUUGGGAUUAGCCAAGUCUUGAGGUUGUUCUCAUGUUCA